rnacentral:rRNA from 1 species
GACGAACGCUGGCGGCGUGCUUAACGCAUGCAAGUCGAACGGAAAGGCCCUGCUUUUGUGGGGUGCUCGAGUGGCGAACGGGUGAGUAACACGUGAGUAACCUGCCCUUGACUUUGGGAUAACUUCAGGAAACUGGGGCUAAUACCGGAUAGGAGCUCCUGCUGCAUGGUGGGGGUUGGAAAGUUUCGGCGGUUGGGGAUGGACUCGCGGCUUAUCAGCUUGUUGGUGGGGUAGUGGCUUACCAAGGCUUUGACGGGUAGCCGGCCUGAGAGGGUGACCGGCCACAUUGGGACUGAGAUACGGCCCAGACUCCUACGGGAGGCAGCAGUGGGGAAUAUUGCACAAUGGGCGGAAGCCUGAUGCAGCAACGCCGCGUGCGGGAUGACGGCCUUCGGGUUGUAAACCGCUUUCGCCUGUGACGAAGCGUGAGUGACGGUAAUGGGUAAAGAAGCACCGGCUAACUACGUGCCAGCAGCCGCGGUGAUACGUAGGGUGCGAGCGUUGUCCGGAUUUAUUGGGCGUAAAGGGCUCGUAGGUGGUUGAUCGCGUCGGAAGUGUAAUCUUGGGGCUUAACCCUGAGCGUGCUUUCGAUACGGGUUGACUUGAGGAAGGUAGGGGAGAAUGGAAUUCCUGGUGGAGCGGUGGAAUGCGCAGAUAUCAGGAGGAACACCAGUGGCGAAGGCGGUUCUCUGGGCCUUUCCUGACGCUGAGGAGCGAAAGCGUGGGGAGCGAACAGGCUUAGAUACCCUGGUAGUCCACGCUGUAAACGGUGGGUACUAGGUGUGGGGUCCAUUCCACGGGUUCCGUGCCGUAGCUAACGCUUUAAGUACCCGCCUGGGGAGUACGGCCGCAAGGCUAAAACUCAAAGGAAUUGACGGGGCCCCGCACAAGCGGCGGAGCAUGCGGAUUAAUUCGAUGCAACGCGUAGAACCUUACCUGGGUUUGACAUGGAUCGGGAGUGCUCAGAGAUGGGUGUGCCUCUUUUGGGGUCGGUUCACAGGUGGUGCAUGGCUGUCGUCAGCUCGUGUCGUGAGAUGUUGGGUUAAGUCCCGCAACGAGCGCAACCCUUGUUCACUGUUGCCAGCACGUUAUGGUGGGGACUCAGUGGAGACCGCCGGGGUCAACUCGGAGGAAGGUGGGGACGACGUCAAGUCAUCAUGCCCCUUAUGUCCAGGGCUUCACGCAUGCUACAAUGGCUGGUACAGAGAGUGGCGAGCCUGUGAGGGUGAGCGAAUCUCGGAAAGCCGGUCUCAGUUCGGAUUGGGGUCUGCAACUCGACCUCAUGAAGUCGGAGUCGCUAGUAAUCGCAGAUCAGCAACGCUGCGGUGAAUACGUUCCCGGGGCU